UAGUCCACGCCGUAAACGAUGAAUGCCAGCUGUCGGGGGGCAUGCCCUUCGGUGGCGCAGCUAACGCUUUAAGCAUUCCGCCUGGGGAGUACGGCCGCAAGGUUAAAACUCAAAUGAAUUGACGGGGGCCCGCACAAGCGGUGGAGCAUGUGGUUUAAUUCGAUGCAACGCGAAGAACCUUACCUACUCUUGACAUCCAGAGAAGCUUGAAGAGAUUCGAGUGUGCCCUCGGGAACUCUGAGACAGGUGCUGCAUGGCUGUCGUCAGCUCGUGUUGUGAAAUGUUGGGUUAAGUCCCGCAACGAGCGCAACCCUUAUCCUUGUUUGCCAGCACGUAAUGGUGGGAACUCCAGGGAGACUGCCGGUGAUAAACCGGAGGAAGGUGGGGACGACGUCAAGUCAUCAUGGCCCUUACGAGUAGGGGCUACACACGUGCUACAAUGGCGUAUACAGAGGGCUGCCAACUCGCGAGAGUGAGCGAAU
rnacentral:rRNA from 1 species